GAUGCCCUGGCAGUCAGAGGCGAUGAAGGACGUGCUAAUCUGCGAUAAGCGUCGGUAAGGUGAUAUGAACCGUUAUAACCGGCGAUUUCCGAAUGGGGAAACCCAGUGUGAUUCGUCACACUAUCAUUAACUGAAUCCAUAGGUUAAUGAGGCGAACCGGGGGAACUGAAACAUCUAAGUACCCCGAGGAAAAGAAAUCAACCGAGAUUCCCCCAGUAGCGGCGAGCGAACGGGGAGCAGCCCAGAGCCUGAAUCAGUGUGUGUGUUAGUGGAAGCGUCUGGAAAGGCGCGCGAUACAGGGUGACAGCCCCGUACACAAAAAUGCACAUACUGUGAGCUCGAUGAGUAGGGCGGGACACGUGGUAUCCUGUCUGAAUAUGGGGGGACCAUCCUCCAAGGCUAAAUACUCCUGACUGACCGAUAGUGAACCAGUACCGUGAGGGAAAGGCGAAAAGAACCCCGGCGAGGGGAGUGAAAAAGAACCUGAAACCGUGUACGUACAAGCAGUGGGAGCCUCUUUAUGGGGUGACUGCGUACCUUUUGUAUAAUGGGUCAGCGACUUAUAUUCUGUAGCAAGGUUAACCGAAUAGGGGAGCCGAAGGGAAACCGAGUCUUAACUGGGCGUUAAGUUGCAGGGUAUAGACCCGAAACCCGGUGAUCUAGCCAUGGGCAGGUUGAAGGUUGGGUAACACUAACUGGAGGACCGAACCGACUAAUGUUGAAAAAUUAGCGGAUGACUUGUGGCUGGGGGUGAAAGGCCAAUCAAACCGGGAGAUAGCUGGUUCUCCCCGAAAGCUAUUUAGGUAGCGCCUCGUGAAUUCAUCUCCGGGGGUAGAGCACUGUUUCGGCAAGGGGGUCAUCCCGACUUACCAACCCGAUGCAAACUGCGAAUACCGGAGAAUGUUAUCACGGGAGACACACGGCGGGUGCUAACGUCCGUCGUGAAGAGGGAAACAACCCAGACCGCCAGCUAAGGUCCCAAAGUCAUGGUUAAGUGGGAAACGAUGUGGGAAGGCCCAGACAGCCAGGAUGUUGGCUUAGAAGCAGCCAUCAUUUAAAGAAAGCGUAAUAGCUCACUGGUCGAGUCGGCCUGCGCGGAAGAUGUAACGGGGCUAAACCAUGCACCGAAGCUGCGGCAGCGACACUAUGUGUUGUUGGGUAGGGGAGCGUUCUGUAAGCCUGUGAAGGUGUGCUGUGAGGUAUGCUGGAGGUAUCAGAAGUGCGAAUGCUGACAUAAGUAACGAUAAAGCGGGUGAAAAGCCCGCUCGCCGGAAGACCAAGGGUUCCUGUCCAACGUUAAUCGGGGCAGGGUGAGUCGACCCCUAAGGCGAGGCCGAAAGGCGUAGUCGAUGGGAAACAGGUUAAUAUUCCUGUACUUGGUGUUACUGCGAAGGGGGGACGGAGAAGGCUAUGUUGGCCGGGCGACGGUUGUCCCGGUUUAAGCGUGUAGGCUGGUUUUCCAGGCAAAUCCGGAAAAUCAAGGCUGAGGCGUGAUGACGAGGCACUACGGUGCUGAAGCAACAAAUGCCCUGCUUCCAGGAAAAGCCUCUAAGCAUCAGGUAACAUCAAAUCGUACCCCAAACCGACACAGGUGGUCAGGUAGAGAAUACCAAGGCGCUUGAGAGAACUCGGGUGAAGGAACUAGGCAAAAUGGUGCCGUAACUUCGGGAGAAGGCACGCUGAUAUGUAGGUGAAGUCCCUUGCGGAUGGAGCUGAAAUCAGUCGAAGAUACCAGCUGGCUGCAACUGUUUAUUAAAAACACAGCACUGUGCAAACACGAAAGUGGACGUAUACGGUGUGACGCCUGCCCGGUGCCGGAAGGUUAAUUGAUGGGGUUAGCGGUAACGCGAAGCUCUUGAUCGAAGCCCCGGUAAACGGCGGCCGUAACUAUAACGGUCCUAAGGUAGCGAAAUUCCUUGUCGGGUAAGUUCCGACCUGCACGAAUGGCGUAAUGAUGGCCAGGCUGUCUCCACCCGAGACUCAGUGAAAUUGAACUCGCUGUGAAGAUGCAGUGUACCCGCGGCAAGACGGAAAGACCCCGUGAACCUUUACUAUAGCUUGACACUGAACAUUGAGCCUUGAUGUGUAGGAUAGGUGGGAGGCUUUGAAGUGUGGACGCCAGUCUGCAUGGAGCCGACCUUGAAAUACCACCCUUUAAUGUUUGAUGUUCUAACGUUGGCCCCUGAUCGGGGUUGCGGACAGUGUCUGGUGGGUAGUUUGACUGGGGCGGUCUCCUCCUAAAGAGUAACGGAGGAGCACGAAGGUUGGCUAAUCCUGGUCGGACAUCAGGAGGUUAGUGCAAUGGCAUAAGCCAGCUUGACUGCGAGCGUGACGGCGCGAGCAGGUGCGAAAGCAGGUCAUAGUGAUCCGGUGGUUCUGAAUGGAAGGGCCAUCGCUCAACGGAUAAAAGGUACUCCGGGGAUAACAGGCUGAUACCGCCCAAGAGUUCAUAUCGACGGCGGUGUUUGGCACCUCGAUGUCGGCUCAUCACAUCCUGGGGCUGAAGUAGGUCCCAAGGGUAUGGCUGUUCGCCAUUUAAAGUGGUACGCGAGCUGGGUUUAGAACGUCGUGAGACAGUUCGGUCCCUAUCUGCCGUGGGCGCUGGAGAACUGAGGGGGGCUGCUCCUAGUACGAGAGGACCGGAGUGGACGCAUCACUGGUGUUCGGGUUGUCAUGCCAAUGGCACUGCCCGGUAGCUAAAUGCGGAAGAGAUAAGUGCUGAAAGCAUCUAAGCACGAAACUUGCCCCGAGAUGAGUUCUCCCUGACUCCUUGAGAGUCCUGAAGGAACGUUGAAGACGACGACGUUGAUAGGCCGGGUGUGUAAGCGCAGCGAUGCGUUGAGCUAACCGGUACUAAUGAACCGUGAGGCUUAACCUU
rnacentral:rRNA from 1 species